CGGGAUGUAGCUCAGCCCGGUUAGAGUACACGUCUGGGGGCGUGUGGUCGGAAGUUCGAAUCUUCUCAUCCCGA
rnacentral:tRNA from 1 species